rnacentral:rRNA from 1 species
AUAAUUUUAAGUAAAAUCUGCUCUAUGAAUAAUUUAAUGGCCGCAGAAUUUUUACUGUGCUAAGGUAGCAUAAUCAUUUACCUUUUAAUUAAAGGUUUGUAUGAAAGAUUUAACAUUUAAAUUACUUUUUUAUUUAAAUAUUUUAAAUUUUAAUUAAAUAUUAAAAUAUAUUUAUACCUUAAAAAGACGAUAAGACCCUAUUGAACUUUACUUAUGUUCAGCUGGGGAAGCUAAUUAAAUAUCAUUUUAAUUAUAUAAAAUAAAAAUAUUUCUAAUAAAAUUAAUUAUAAAAGUUACCAUAGGGAUAACAGCGUUAUAUUAUUUUAAAGAUCAUAUUCAAAAUAAUGUUUACGACCUCGAUGUUGAAUUAAAUUUCCUUAAACACGCAAUAGUAGAAAAGGGGUCUGU